rnacentral:rRNA from 1 species
AUGGCUUCUCUGAUCCAUCCAUCGUACGAUCUACUUCAUCGUGCACGGUUCAUGGCAGAUGAAAGAAGGGUUUUUGAUCAGCUUCACUUGAGGUCUGGUGCAGUUCAUGAGAAGAUGGAAUAUGACGAGCGAUACACGGAGUAUAUCCGGAAGACUGGGCUUCUCCCAGUUGUCUCACUCGUGUCUCGUUCGAUGCCGAAGAUGAAUCCUUGUGCGAUCACGGCACUAGUUGACCGUUGGCGCCCUGAGACACAUACUUUCCACUUCUUUGCUGGAGAGAUGACGGUGACUUUGCAGGAUGUUACAAUGAUCACUGGACUUCCUAUCAAAGGAGAGCCUAUUUGUUUUAGCACAGAUUCAGAGGGAUGGCGUGAGACUAUGGUGGGACUCAUUGGGAAGGAGCCGGGGGUGCAAGGGAAGUCCGCCGGUGCAAGUUAUCAUUGGAUUGCUGAGAACUUUAGUAAGUGCCCGGAUGAUGUUGAUGACGAAACGGUGCAACAGUAUUGCAGGGCAUACUUGUGGUAUGUAGUCAGUCGGACUCUUUUCUCGGAUGGCACGGGCGUGAAUGCUUCCUUUAUGUGGUUAAAGUUGUUUGCUGGGUGGGAACAUGGACUGAGUUGGGGUACGGCGGCACUAGCUUAUUUGUAUCGGCAGGUAACUAGUCACCCAAGAAACGCUUUGUCUUCCGUCUUCCACGUGUCACCACCUUCAUUUCCAAAUCAGGGUAUAGUGGGGGUCCAUGGUAUUCCGGCCAUUUAG